rnacentral:rRNA from 1 species
UUCAUGGAGAGUUUGAUCCUGGCUCAGGACGAACGCUGGCGGCGUGCCUAAUACAUGCAAGUCGAGCGGACAGAUGGGAGCUUGCUCCCUGAUGUUAGCGGCGGACGGGUGAGUAACACGUGGGUAACCUGCCUGUAAGACUGGGAUAACUCCGGGAAACCGGGGCUAAUACCGGAUGCUUGAUUGAACCGCAUGGUUCAAUUAUAAAAGGUGGCUUCGGCUACCACUUACAGAUGGACCCGCGGCGCAUUAGCUAGUUGGUGAGGUAACGGCUCACCAAGGC